GACAGCGGAGGGAUCAUUACAGAGUUGCAAAACUCCAACAAACCAUCGCGAAUCUUACCCGUACGGUUGCCUCGGCGCUGGCGGUCCGGAAGGCCCUCGGGCCCCCGGAUCCUCGGGUCUCCCGCUCGCGGGAGGCUGCCCGCCGGAGUGCCGAAACCAAACUCUUGAUAUUUUAUGUCUCUCUGAGUAAACUUUUAAAUAAGUCAAAACUUUCAACAACGGAUCUCUUGGUUCUGGCAUCGAUGAAGAACGCAGCGAAAUGCGAUAAGUAAUGUGAAUUGCAGAAUUCAGUGAAUCAUCGAAUCUUUGAACGCACAUUGCGCUCGCCAGUAUUCUGGCGAGCAUGCCUGUUCGAGCGUCAUUUCAACCAUCAAGCUCUGCUUGCGUUGGGGAUCCGCGUCUGACGCGGUCCCUCAAAAACAGUGGCGGGCUCGCUAGUCACACCGAGCGUAGUAACUCUACAUCGCUAUGGUCGUGCGGCGGGUUCUUGCCGUAAAACCCCCAAUUUCUAAGGUUGACCUCGGAUCAGGUAGGAAUACCCGCUGAACUUAAGCAUAUCAAUAAGCGGAGGA
rnacentral:rRNA from 1 species